GGAAAAACUGAGAUGAAAUAGCGAGGUGACCUGUUGAACAUCACACAGGAAGCUGUAUGCAAAAGCUAGAGAUAGUUCUAUGGCUCUCUUCAUUUAUAGAUCUCUAUAUUCAGCACCUCUGAAAAGUUACCUCCCUUAGCCUCUGAGGCAGAAUUUCGUACUUUAAUUGUAGGAUCGUCAUAUCAUCUUCCCAGGAAGUACCAAGUUGUUAUAAAAGCUAUGUUUCACCCCUACGUCUGGAGGGAGAAUGGCAUGAAAUGUAUUAGUUUACUUCCGGAAUUGGGAGCUAUUCUAAAGCAAUAAAUCAGAGGCCAUCCCCACAGGGGCACUUGGAGGAUGAACAAAGAUUUUGCAGCAGAAGUGCUUGUAUCAGUGCAGUCUCUCUUCUAGCUUCAUGUUCUUUGCUAUGCUGACCUCUAGGGAAACUUUUCUGCAAUCCAGUUUGCCAAAGCAUUUGUAUAGGAAACCAUCUAGUAGCUUAAAACUCGUUGCUGCCCUUUUCACAGUAGGGGCUAGGCGCUGGGUGGCAAAUCCGAAGCAGGCCUUCACAUGAAGUUGCAAGCAGUUUGCUGCUCCCUCCGCUGAUUCCAACACACUCGGGUGACUCAAGGUCUGAGCACAUUCGGGCAGAGCUCAGCCGGCAGAGGAAAUGCAUGCUGUGCUAACAAACAACAUGCUUGUUCUCAAUACUUGCGGGCUAGGGAGAUGAAAAAAAAUGGAAAAGGACUCUGCAGUCUGAGGCUGUGUGGAAGCAGGGCUGCGUAUACCUUUUCGCCCGAAGCUAAGACCACUUCAGCAACAGAUGAAGUUCUAGCCUGAUAGCUUUAGGAAGAAUGAAUAGAUUGUUUUCGCAAAAGAGCUGCGGCGAAGUGGUGACCAUGCAAGCUUCUCCCGUCAGCGGGCAAGGAGUCCGUCUUAGAAAGGAUGUUUCAGGGGCUGAAAAGCUAGGACUGGUGCUAGCAACACAGUCCAAAGAAGGGAAACAGAAGACUAGAGGCAUUGAAGUUUGUCCUGCAUGAGGAUGCUGCUGCUAAGGGCUUUGCACAUCAUGGUGACAAAGACAGGACAUGGAAACUUCAAAAAAUGAAGAAAAUGCAUCAAAAACCUUAACAAAAAAGAAGUGGCAACAUUGCCCAAGAAGUACGUAGCAAAGCCUCCUUCUCAGUGCGUGAACGGAUCAGUAUCAGUUUGUAUCAACAAUAUCAUAUUAAAGAAGGUGGACUGUCACUUGGAACAAAGACCUCGGGCUGCCUUAGUGUGCUUUUCUAGAUCCAACAAAGUACUUGGGUAAAAACAGAACGUGACU
rnacentral:lncRNA from 1 species